rnacentral:tRNA from 1 species
GUUUUAAUAGUUUAAUAAAAACACUGGUCUUGUAAACCAGAAUUGAAGUUAUAAUCUUCUUAAAGCA